CGAACGGGUGAGUAACACGUGGGCAACCUGCCCAAAAGAGGGGGAUAACACUUGGAAACAGGUGCUAAUACCGCAUAACCAUAGUUACCGCAUGGUAACUAUGUAAAAGGUGGCUAUGCUACCGCUUUUGGAUGGGCCCGCGGCGCAUUAGCUAAUUGGUGGGGUAAAGGCUUACCAAGGCAAUGAUGCGUAGCCGAACUGAGAGGUUGAUCGGCCACAUUGGGACUGAGACACGGCCCAAACUCCUACGGGAGGCAGCAG
rnacentral:rRNA from 1 species